rnacentral:rRNA from 1 species
AGCGAACGCUGGCGGCAGGCCUAACACAUGCAAGUCGAACGAACUCUUCGGAGUUAGUGGCGGACGGGUGAGUAACACGUGGGAACGUGCCUUUAGGUUCGGAAUAACUCAGGGAAACUUGUGCUAAUACCGAAUGUGCCCUUCGGGGGAAAGAUUUAUCGCCUUUAGAGCGGCCCGCGUCUGAUUAGCUAGUUGGUGGGGUAAUGGCCCACCAAGGCUACGAUCAGUAGCUGGUCUGAGAGGAUGACCAGCCACAUUGGGACUGAGACACGGCCCAAACUCCUACGGGAGGCAGCAGUGGGGAAUCUUGCGCAAUGGGCGAAAGCCUGACGCAGCCAUGCCGCGUGGAUGAUGAAGGUCUUAGGAUUGUAAAAUCCUUUCACCGGUGAAGAUAAUGACUGUAGCCGGAGAAGAAGCCCCGGCUAACUUCGUGCCAGCCGCCGCAGUAA